rnacentral:rRNA from 1 species
AUAUAAGUAAGCGGAGGACAAGAAACUAAACAGGAUCCCCAUAGUAAUGGCGAAUGAACCGGGAUAAACUCAGCAUGGAAAUUGGGGCCUUUGGCUUUGACUUGUAAUCUGGUGAGGCAUUGCCAACAGAGGCGCAUAUGUAAGUCUCUUGGAAAAGAGCAUCAACGAAGGUGAGAGUCCUGAUUGUCAUGUGCAGCCCCCCUGUGCACGGUGUGCCUUCUAAGAGUCACGUUCCUUGGGAUUGGAGCGCAAAUUGGGUGGUAACUUUCAUCUGAAGUUAAACAAUGGUUUGGGACCGAUAGGAAACAAGUACCAUGAGGGAAAGGUGAAAAGGACUUUGGAAAGAGAGUUAAAAGUGCCUGAAAUUGCUGAAGGGGAAGCGAAUGGAACCAGUAGUGCUGGGUGAGAUUGUCACAUGCUACAAGGAUUGGUUGCUGCCACAACGCAAGUGUGAUGGCAAUUUGUGAAUUGCUAGUGUGUGGUGUGUCUUACCUAGUGGGUCAUUGUGGGUUUAUGCAUUAAGAUAAGUCAAAGCAAGCGGGAGCAAGUUUACGAGUUUGUGAAUGUGUGUUGUUAUGCUUGUGCGUAAGCUUUAGUGUUUGUCUGGCUGCAGGGCUGUCCAUCCUCGAGCUGAGGGUUGCGAUGAGCAUAACCUUCUGCACA